rnacentral:miRNA from 1 species
CAGCAAUGAUGAUGAUGAUGAUGAUGAUGAUGAUGAUGAUACUACAAAGCACUCCCAAACAGCAACAAACAUCCAUCAUCAUUAUUAUCAUCAUCGUCGUCGUCGUCG